CCUACGGGAGGCAGCAGUGGGGAAUAUUGCACAAUGGGCGAAAGCCUGAUGCAGCAACGCCGCGUGAAGGAAGACGGUUUUCGGAUUGUAAACUUCUGUCAAUAGGGAAGAAAGAAAUGACGGUACCUAAAUCAGUAGCCCCGGCUAACUACGUGCCAGCAGCCGCGGUAAUACGUAGGGGGCAAGCGUUAUCCGGAAUGACUGCGUGUAAAGGGAGAGUAGGCGGCAAGGUAAGCGAUAUGUGAAAGCCUUAAGCUUAACUAAAGGAUUGCAUAACGAAAUAUCUAGCUAGAGUACAGGAGAGGAAAGUGGAAUUCCUAGUGUAGCGGUGAAAUGCGUAGAUAUUAGGAAGAACACCAGUGGCGAAGGCGGCUUUCUGGUCUGAAACUGACGCUGAGGCUCGAAAGCGUGGGGAGCGAACAGGAUUAGAUACCCGAGUAGUC
rnacentral:rRNA from 1 species